rnacentral:rRNA from 1 species
AGGGUUUGAUCCUGGCUCAGGAUGAACGCUGGCGGCGUGCUUAACACAUGCAAGUCGAACGAACCUUCGGGUUAGUGGCGGACGGGUGAGUAACGCGUGAGAAUCUGCCCUCAGGAGGGGGAUAACGGUUGGAAACGACCGCUAAUACCCCAUAUGCCGAUAGGUGAAAUGAAUUUCGCCUGAGGAUGAGCUCGCGUCUGAUUAGCUAGUUGGUGUGGUAAUGGCUCACCAAGGCUUCGAUCAGUAGCUGGUCUGAGAGGAUGAUCAGCCACACUGGGACUGAGACACGGCCCAGACUCCUACGGGAGGCAGCAGUGGGGAAUUUUCCGCAAUGGGCGAAAGCCUGACGGAGCAACGCCGCGUGAGGGACGAAGGCCUCUGGGCUGUAAACCUCUUUUCUCAAGGAAGAAGAUAUGACGGUACUUGAGGAAUAAGCCACGGCUAAUUCCGUGCCAGCAGCCGCGGUAAUACGGGAGUGGCAAGCGUUAUCCGGAAUUAUUGGGCGUAAAGCGUCCGCAGGCGGCUUUUCAAGUCUGCUGUUAAAACGUGGAGCUUAACUCCAUCAUGGCAGUGGAAACUGAAAGGCUUGAGUAUGGUAGGGGCAGAGGGAAUUCCCGGUGUAGCGGUGAAAUGCGUAGAUAUCGGGAAGAACACCAGUGGCGAAGGCGCUCUGCUGGGCCAUUACUGACGCUCAUGGACGAAAGCCAGGGGAGCGAAAGGGAUUAGAUACCCCUGUAGUCCUGGCCGUAAACGAUGAACACUAGGUGUCGGGGGAAUCGACCCCUUCGGUGUCGUAGCUAACGCGUUAAGUGUUCCGCCUGGGGAGUACGCACGCAAGUGUGAAACUCAAAGGAAUUGACGGGGGCCCGCACAAGCGGUGGAGUAUGUGGUUUAAUUCGAUGCAACGCGAAGAACCUUACCAGGGUUUGACAUCCUGCGAACCUCUUAGAAAUUUGAGGGUGCCUUCGGGAAUGCAGUGACAGGUGGUGCAUGGCUGUCGUCAGCUCGUGUCGUGAGAUGUUGGGUUAAGUCCCGCAACGAGCGCAACCCACGUUUUUAGUUGCCAGCAUUUAGUUGGGCACUCUAGAAAGACCGCCGGUGAUAAACCGGAGGAAGGUGUGGAUGACGUCAAGUCAUCAUGCCCCUUACACCCUGGGCUACACACGUACUACAAUGCUACGGACAAAGGGCAGCAAACUCGCGAGAGCUAGCAAAUCCCAUAAACCGUGGCUCAGUUCAGAUCGUAGGCUGCAACUCGCCUACGUGAAGUAGGAAUCGCUAGUAAUCGCAGGUCAGCAUACUGCGGUGAAUACGUUCCCGGGCCUUGUACACACCGCCCGUCACACCAUGGAAGUUGGCCAUGCCCGAAGUCGUUACUCCAACCCUUGUGGAGGAGGACGCCGAAGGUGGGGCUAAUGACUGGGGUGAAGUCAUAACAAGGUAGCCGUA